rnacentral:rRNA from 1 species
CUCCCGUUGAUCCCGCCGGACCCGACUGCUAUCAGAGUGGGACUAAGCCAUGCGAGUCAACGCAGCAAUGCGUGGCAUACGGCUCAGUAACACGUAGUCAACAUGCCCAGGGGACGUGGAUAACCUCGGGAAACUGAGGAUAAACCACGAUAGGCCAAGGUUUCUGGAAUGGACACUGGCUGAAACCUACAUGGCCCCUGGAUUGGACUGCGGCCGAUCAGGCUGUUGGUGAGGUAAUGGCCCACCAAACCUGUAACCGGUACGGGCUUUGAGAGAAGGAGCCCGGAGAUGGGCACUGAGACAAGGGCCCAGGCCCUAUGGGGCGCAGCAGGCGCGAAACCUCUGCAAUAGGCGAAAGCUUGACAGGGUUACUCUGAGUGAUGCCCGCUAAGGGCAUCUUUUGGCACCUCUAAAAAUGGUGCAGAAUAAGGGGUGGGCAAGUCUGGUGUCAGCCGCCGCGGUAAUACCAGCACCCCGAGUGGUCGGGACGAUUAUUGGGCCUAAAGCAUCCGUAGCUUGUUCUGCAAGUCCUCCGUUAAAUCCACCUGCUCAACAGAUGGGCUGCGGGGGAUACUACAGGGCUAGGAGGCGGGAGAGGCAAACGGUACUCAGUGGGUAGGGGUAAAAUCCUCUGAUCCACUGAAGACCACCAGUGGCGAAGGCGGUUUGCCAGAACGCGCUCGACGGUGAGGGAUGAAAGCUGGGGGAGCAAACCGGAUUAGAUACCCGGGUAGUCCCAGCUGUAAACGAUGCAGACUCGGUGAUGGGUUGGCUUUGAGCCAACCCAGUGCCGCAGGGAAGCCGUUAAGUCUGCCGCCUGGGGAGUACGGUCGCAAGACUGAAACUUAAAGGAAUUGGCGGGGGAGCA